rnacentral:rRNA from 1 species
GAUGAACGCUGGCGGCGUGCUUAACACAUGCAAGUCGAACGGGAAACCUUUUAAUGAAGCUUCGGCAGAUUUAGCUGGUUUCUAGUGGCGGACGGGUGAGUAACGCGUGGGUAACCUGCCUUAUACAGGGGGAUAACAGUCAGAAAUGACUGCUAAUACCGCAUAAGCGCACAGGACCGCAUGGUCCGGUGUGAAAAACUCCGGUGGUAUAAGAUGGACCCGCGUUGGAUUAGCUUGUUGGUGGGGUAACGGCUCACCAAGGCGACGAUCCAUAGCCGGCCUGAGAGGGUGAACGGCCACAUUGGGACUGAGACACAGCCCAGACUCCUACGGGAGGCAGCAGUGGGGAAUAUUGCACAAUGGGGGAAACCCUGAUGCAGCGACGCCGCGUGAAGGAAGAAGUAUCUCGGUAUGUAAACUUCUAUCAGCAGGGAAGAUAGUGACGGUACCUGACUAAGAAGCCCCGGCUAACUACGUG